UCACUUUUACAAGCAUCUAAAUCAAAGCUUAUAAUUUGAGGCAUUCUCUAAAAAUCCGAUUUAACCAAAACAUAACUACAAGCUUAGUUUUCAUCGAAUAAGCUUUAUUGUCUAGCUAUAAAUAAACUCAUAAAAACUUGAUAUUAAACCACCAAGUAAACAUGCUCAAUUGAAAAUCGCCACUUUAAAAGCUACAGGUUUAGGCUCUUUACAGCAUGUCCAACAGAAAUAACUAUAUUUCAAUGCCGUCCAGCAUUGAGAGAACUCAGGAAGGAAUAAACGAUAAAUGGAUUAGUAUCUGGAAUUGUAAGAGAAAAACCAAAUACCAACCAAGUUCAUAAUUCAAAAAAAACUACACUGUGGGAAGGCACUAACUUAUUGGAAACGCUUUGAUAACCACUACAUCUUCAAUGAGAAGUUUUGUUGCAUCAAUUUCCCUUCUCCUCAAUUAGUUUAUAACACAAAGAAUGAUGUUGUAACUAAAACUGGUUUUUUAAUUUGAACAAAAAGUAACCCUUCAUUUGUAUGCUUUCACUGCUUUCUGUGCAGCAUCAUCCAAAUCUUCAGCUGUUAUUAAUGCCAAACCACUUUCCUGUUGAACAAUUAAUGAAUAUGAUAAGCAUUCAAACGUUCUUGCUUCCUUUUUUAAAUAGAGAAAAAAAUAAAACAAGCAAUAGGAUAGUACCUUCAAAAUUCUUUUUCCUUGAUCAACAUUGGUGCCUUCUAGACGAACAACCACAGGUACUUUCAGGUCAACCUUGAAAGUAACACCAGAAGAGUUAUUGCUAUUAUAAGAUGAGUGUAACAUAGAAUUCAAUCCCUAUUCAAUUAAAAAAAGUCACAAAGAAAAAUAAUAUAAUACUAGUUCUAUAUGUCUCUUUCUUGAUAUCUAACUACUUAAAAAUAUGCAACAAUAAAAAAUCCAAUUACCCAUUAAAAACCAAAACAGUUGUAAACUGAUCAUGCUAAAUCUGAUCAGACAUCCAAUAAGAAGAAUCUACAUUUUCUGUACCCAAAAAAAUCUAUUGAUUUAGUUGAGUCUUUUAAUAUCAAAUAGUAGUUCCAAACAAUCAUUAUCCAGAAUUGCUAAUGAAGAUAAAAACCAUGUUAAUUUGUAGGAGAAAGGAGAAAUGCGGUCAUUAUUCCCAAUUCUCUGGUAGGCCAAAGCAUAAAUCAACUUUAAAGGCGUAAUUUUUAUUUUGACAUCAAUAAAGAAUACAUAACUUUACUAACCUGCUUUGCAGCAUUCACUAUUCCACUAGCUAUAACAUCACACUUCAUUAUACCACCAAAAAUGUUAACCAUAUAUGCUCCCAUAAAAUAAAACACAUAAAUAUGAUAAGUGAGUGACAAUGAGAUAGGUCGGACUUAGUCAUGUUAGAUUGUUAGUAAUCUACCAUCCCAAAUAUUGCAUGAGUAUAAUUUUUUAAUACCCAAUAAAACUUGACCCUAUUUGAGUUCAAUCAUAACUAAAUCAAACCAGGUGAAUAAAUAGAGUCAGAUGUAUAUUAAAACUGAACACUGAUAAACUAAUGCGUUUGAUAAAAUUGACUGAAAAUUAUAGACUAAUAUACAAAAAGUAUGAAAUUUUUGAGAGAUAAGUCACUUUUACAAGCAUCUAAAUCAAAGCUUAUAAUUUGAGGCAUUCUCUAAAAAUCCGAUUUAACCAAAACAUAACUACAAGCUUAGUUUUCAUCGAAUAAGCUUUAUUGUCUAGCUAUAAAUAAACUCAUAAAAACUUGAUAUUAAACCACCAAGUAAACAUGCUCAAUUGAAAAUCGCCACUUUAAAAGCUACAGGUUUAGGCUCUUUACAGCAUGUCCAACAGAAAUAACUAUAUUUCAAUGCCGUCCAGCAUUGAGAGAACUCAGGAAGGAAUAAACGAUAA
rnacentral:lncRNA from 1 species